GCUUGGCCAUACUACCCUGAAUAUACCCAAUCUUGUCAGAUCUUGGAAGCUAAACAGGGUCGGUUUUAGUUAGUACUUGGAUGGGAGACCACCUGGGAAUACCUGGUGCCCUAGACU
ensembl:rRNA 5S_rRNA 5S ribosomal RNA